rnacentral:tRNA from 1 species
GGGCCGCUAGCUCAAUGGUAGAGCUGCUGACUUUUAAUCAGUAGGUUCGGGGUUCGAGCCCCCGGCGGCCCA